AAUCAACGCUGGCGGCGUGCCUCAGACAUGCAAGUCGAACGCGAAAGUUUCCUUCGGGAGAUGAGUAGAGUGGCGCACGGGUGAGUAACACGUGAGUAAUUUACCUCGGGUGGGAAGUACUAACCGGAAACGGUUGUUAAUACCGCAUAAUGCAGCGGCAUCAAUGAUGACAGUUGUUAAAGCGGGGAUUGGAGCAAUCCGACCUCGCGCCUGAAGAGAAGCUCGCGGCAGAUUAGCUAGUUGGUAAGGUAAUGGCUUACCAAGGCGACGAUCUGUAACCGGCCUGAGAGGGC
rnacentral:rRNA from 1 species